AAAAGAUCACACACUUUCCCCUUGACUCAACAUUUUGUUGCACUGAGGGCCAAAGUCUAGUUUAAAUUCAGCUACCAUGUCCCGAACAGGCAAAUGAAGUCAGUGGCUGGAAAAAUUUUGCCAUUUCAGCACAGAGUGCUUCUGCAGCUACUGGCUGUUUGGAGAGGAGCAGGAGAGAGAGGAACAAAGGUGCGCAAUGGGAAUAUCCAGAAAUCCUGGAAUCAAGGGCAAUGAAAUCAGGGAGCCCCUUCCAUUCCUAUGGAUAGAUCAUCAGUCAGCUGAGAAGAUAGCUUCUGCCAGCAAAGGUUCCUGGAACAGAAGUGCUGGAAAGUUAUGGAGAGGGUGUUGAGAACAAGCAAAGACCACCAAAUAAGUUGCCACUGUAUGCAUGGAUGCAGAUCCAGAGGCAAACACAGGCCAGAAAGCUGCUGUCAAUUUUGACACCCUGCUAGUAACAUCAGAGGAACAUCAAGAACUGAUAGCAGUCUGAGCGAGUAUUUUGUACUAACACUUCUGGAAACAUGACUGAGUGCCUGGAAUAAAUCAGUUUAAUGCUAACUGGGUCUUUGAGUC
rnacentral:lncRNA from 1 species